rnacentral:lncRNA from 1 species
GAAUCCAGAAUCAUCCUCCUGCCUCCAUCUGCCGAGAGCUUGUACCCUCGUGCCUACCUUUAAUUCUCUCUCUCUCUCUCUCCUAUUAAGAUGUCCUAUCCAAUAAGUAAUCAAAGGGCUCAUGAAACUUAAAAGUUUCAUAUUUUGUAAUAUAAGAUACUUCACAUUUUCCAUAUGAAUUUUUGUCACUACAAAUCACCAUUUCCUCUUUUAAUUUUUAAAAAAGCUUUUUGUAUCACAUCAUGCACUCCAGUCCCAAUCAUCUCCUCAUCUCUUCAUAUUUGCCCUUUGCCCUUGCAACUCCACCCCCCCCCCAAGAAAAUGAACAAACAAAGAAAUAAAAGCAUAGGAAACAUCUCAUUGUGGAAGCUGUAGUGUGUCACAGUAUGUCUCACACUACACCCUUUUGUUCACACAUUUUUCCUUGCAAAUGCUCUUUGAAAUGAGUCACCAGUCUGGUUUGCAGCCUUUGGCUUCUGCAACACCACCAAUACUGGAUCCUUACUGGAAUUCCUCUUGGUUAUCCUUUUGUUGCCCUGUGUCAUGGAGAUCCUGUAGCUUUGGAUGUACAGGGCUGGCUCUUUAUUUGGCCCAGCAGUUCAUAGAUGAGGUAGAUUGGGGGGAUGGCCGACUCAAAGUCCUUGAUCUAGGCCUGGGUGGUAGCUGGUGGUCAGCCCACCAGCUCUCCAGCAUCUUUACCACCCUGACAAACUCUCCAGCACUGUACCUGCUUCUCACCUAGUGUGCAGCCAGCAGGGGGCAGGGUCAACUCUACUGCUCUCAUGACCCCAGAGCUGAUUCACCUGUGCGCGCUGCCACCAGGGCCAGUUCCGCUGUGCUAACCAGGAAAGGUGCAAGGCCUAGGGUGAGGCCAGCUCUGCACAGCCCUUGGAUAUGUACAAGUGGCUGCCCAGGCCAGGAAAACCCACAUUGUCUUUAGUGGUAAUAUGGGCCACAGGCCCAGAUCUCAGUUGCUUCAUGGCCAUGUUCAUUGCAGCACAGGCUGGGAAUUCAUGGCCUCAGGUAGCCGGCCUGUCUACUCACACCAGGCUAUUCCACUCUACCCCUGUGUUUCCAGUUCCACCUCUCUCCAUAAUGUAAAAGCUUUUCCGUUCCUCUUUCUCUCCCAACUGUGCCCACCUCAUACUUGCACAAUGGAAUGGCUCCUGUUCCCAGUCGGGCCAUGUGGCUUGUGGGCUUCUGGGUGUCCCCCACCUGCCCAAGCCAUAAGAUGUGGCAACAGGCAUGCUUUUGGGUGCUAGGAAUGGAGACCAAUGAUUGAGCAUUCGAGACCAACAAGCUACUCACUGACCUACACCCCCAGCUCCUCAACCAGUUUUGGCUGGAAAGACUACUCUGCAUGGUGAGCUCCCUGGAUAUUCAAUCAAAACGUAGACUUGCUUUUUUCCCAUUUUGUUCUAUCACAUGAAUCUGUUUUCCUUUCCUUGUAGCUAUUAUUUUUUCUAUUCUAAGUAUUUCUAUUGCACUGUAAAGCAAAAAUCCUCUUGACUUGUUGCUCUGUGAGAACAACUGAGAUUCUGUUUGAAUUUACAUUUCCAUUAAAAC